AGUUCCACCCAAAACGAAUCAAGAAAGGGCGAUACCCGACUGAAAUCGGAUCCCCCUGAAGACUUCUUCAACGACCUGACCCUUCAUUCACAACGCCAGAAAUGCCUCCUCUCGCCUUCAACGCCUUUCUAAAAAAACGCGUUCCUAUCUAAACGCGAAGGACCUUCGAUGCUGGAAGGUCGUCCAUGACGGUCACGCGAACCAAUGCGAAUUCAACGCGAAGCUCAAACUCAAUCUUCAGUUUGUAUCAUUGUCGAUGCUUUGCUUCCGUUUCACAGUGUUAUGGUUGUUCGAUUGUGUUUUGUUGAUGUUGAAUUGAGGUGAAGAGCGAACAAUUUUUAUUGAUUCAUGGUGAAGAAUGUUGCGUUUGCGUCGUGAUGAAGAGUGAAAAUGGAAUUGUGAAUCAAAUCGUUGUGUUGUUGAUGAAGAAAAGUUUGUUGUUGUUGUUCGUCCUUCAACUUCGCAUCUGAACUCAACGUGAGUGUUCGUUACGACCAAGCGUCAUGUUACUGCGCUUUUAGAUCACUGGUCCUCACAGUGGAUUCGUUUCUAUCGGUCUGCUUCACGUUCGCAUCUUCUUCGUAGCAUCAUCAUUACAAUUCAAAGAAUCGGGAAUUUAGGAAUUCAAUUUAAUAUGCCAUUUUAUGUGAACAAACAGAAGGAGACGAUAUCAAAAUUAGAUCUAAAACUUACGGGAUCGAAGCUUCAAACGCGACCAGGGUCAUUUUGCCUAUGACAUGACAAGGUUUAUGCAUGAUCUAUGGGAGUAAUCAAAAUUGGCAAUGGUUAAAUUUGGCAACACAAGGUUCUUGUGAUGAAGAGACAAUGGAUACGUGAAGAUUCAUGAAGGAUUUUGGAAGAAAAGGGAAUGGCUUUUAGAGUUCAUGAUGUAAAUGAUAUGUUGACAAUUUGUUGUAACAUAAUUGAGUGGGCUAGGUAGAUAUGCAUUAGAAUGUCUUUGAGAAUUAAAUUGUGUAACUUUUGUGAUUAAAAUUCCAUUAGCUUGUAAUUAAGAUGGUUCGUAUAUGAAAUUGUUUUGUACUAAA